AGAGUUUGAUCAUGGCUCAGGACGAACGCUGGCGGCGUGCCUAACACAUGCAAGUCGAGCGAGGGACUUCGGUCCCUAGCGGCGGACGGGUGAGUAACACGUGGGUAACCUGCCUCAUAGAGGGGGAUAGCCUCCCGAAAGGGAGAUUAAUACCGCAUAACACUGUGGUUUCGCAUGAGAUUACAGUUAAAGGAGCAAUCCGCUAUGAGAUGGACCCGCGGCGCAUUAGCUAGUUGGUGAGGUAACGGCUCACCAAGGCCACGAUGCGUAGCCGACCUGAGAAGGUGAUCGGCCACAUUGGAACUGAGACACGGUCCAGACUCCUACGGGAGGCAGCAGUGGGGAAUAUUGCACAAUGGAGGAAACUCUGAUGCAGCAACGCCGCGUGAGUGAUGAAGGCCUUCGGGUUGUAAAGCUCUGUCUUUUGGGACGAUAAUGACGGUACCAAAGGAGGAAGCCACGGCUAACUACGUGCCAGCAGCCGCGGUAAUACGGAGGGUGCGAGCGUUAUUCGGAAUUACUGGGCGUAAAGCGCGUGCAGGCGGAAGGAGCAGUCUGAUGUGAAAGCCCGGGGCUUAACCCCGGAAGAGCAUUGGAAACCAUCCUUCUUGAGUGCUGGAGAGGAAGGGGGAAUUCCCGGUGUAGAGGUGAAAUUCGUAGAGAUCGGGAGGAAUACCAGUGGCGAAGGCGCCCUUCUGGACAGUCAAACUGACGCUGAGACGCGAAAGCGUGGGGAGCAAACAGGAUUAGAUACCCUGGUAGUCCACGCUGUAAACGAUGAGAACUAGGUGUAGCGGGUACUCAUUCCUGCUGUGCCGAAGCUAACGCGUUAAGUUCUCCGCCUGGGGAUUACGGUCGCAAGACUAAAACUCAAAGGAAUUGACGG
rnacentral:rRNA from 1 species